rnacentral:rRNA from 1 species
AGUGAACGCUGGCGGUAGGCCUAACACAUGCCAGUCGAACGGCAGCACAGUAAGAGCUUGCUCUUACGGGUGGCGAGUGGCGGACGGGUGAGGAAUACUUCGGAAUCUACUUUUUCGUGGGGGAUAACGUAGGGAAACUUACGCUAAUACCGCAUACGACCUACGGGUGAAAGCAGGGGAUCUUCGGACCUUGCGCGAUUGAAUGAGCCGAUGUCGGAUUAGCUAGUUGGCGGGGUAAAGGCCCACCAAGGCGACGAUCCGUAGCUGGUCUGAGAGGAUGAUCAGCCACACUGGAACUGAGACACGGUCCAGACUCCUACGGGAGGCAGCAGUGGGGAAUAUUGGACAAUGGGCGCAAGCCUGAUCCAGCCAUACCGCGUGGGUGAAGAAGGCCUUCGGGUUGUAAAGCCCUUUUGUUGGGAAAGAAAAGCAGCAGGUUAAUACCCCGCUGUUCUGACGGUACCCAAAGAAUAAGCACCGGCUAACUUCGUG